rnacentral:rRNA from 1 species
UACAGAGGUCCCGAGCGUUGUUCGGAUUCACUGGGCGUAAAGGGUGCGCAGGUGGGUUUGCAAGUUUGAUGUGAAAGCCCCGGGCUUAACCCGGGAAUGGCAUUGAAUACUGCAGAUCUGGAGGAUCGGAGGGGGAACUGGAAUUCUCGGUGUAGCAGUGAAAUGCGUAGAGAUCGAGAGGAACACCAGUGGCGAAGGCGAGUUCCUGGACAACACCUGACACUGAGGCACGAAAGCCGGGGGAGCAAACAGG